rnacentral:lncRNA from 14 species
GUGUGAUUUUGGUCUUUACCUUUUUUUCUUGUUUUUAUUAUUUUUUAAACUUACUACAAUAAUCAUUUACUUGAAGUGUUUGGUCUUAGUUACAAUAAACAUCUUUCCAUGUCUGUACAGAUGGGAAAUGCACGGGGAACUGCAUAGAACAGGAUGGUUUAAGUUCGUCAUCUGUUCAUCACUUGAUAGAGAUCAAUAUAGAUUAGAGGCUGGCUCUGAAUUAGAACGAAGCUUUCUUCAGUAUCCACUACAACAUGAAGACUUCAAUGGAAAACUGGUUUUAAAUUCAGUGCAUCAAGGAGAAUUUUGGAAGCCUCCCUAGUGUUUUCACUCACCCCCACUGGAAAUGAACAGCAAUGACAAUCCUGAACUGUGGAAGCUUCCCUUACCUACACAAUAGUAGAACAGUUCAACACAGCUUCUCUCUUAAGUGGACUGUUGCUGUCCAAGAAACACAGUAUAGUCAUAUAAUAAGUGAUAUAAAUAAGAAUACAGUCAUUUUGCUGCCUAUUGUCCAGGAUGUACCAAACAGUUCCUGAAAGGGGCCACCCAGCUACUAUUCCUCAUCCAGUGAUAUAUUCCCCACCAAAAUUGCAGUUACAAGUGAUUAGGGAAGUAUUAUUUUCAGGACAGCUCACAGCCUCGAGGUACACAGCGUCUUCUAUAACCCUGCUUGGUGACAUCCAACACUAGUAGGUCAAGUUAAGAGACACACUUUAAAAUUUAUGAGGCUCAAUGUAGACUUACAGAUCUUCCUUCACUGGGAAGGACCACCACAUGAAGACACGGUUGCACACCAUGGCACACCUAGAAGCUGGCAGGGAUGCUUUCACUUUACAGGUCAGCUAGGUCAGAAGGGACCUCUUGAGAUCACUUAGUCCAACUCCCUGCCCAAGCCACUUGCCCAGAACAUCCUCAGCUGGGUUCUGGAUCUGCACAGGCUUCACAAUCUGUGUUUGAACACCUUCAUAGUAAAAAAGUCCUUCCUUCUGUUCAAAUAGAACAUCAUUUUUCUAAUGUGCCCACUGCCUCAUCCUGCCAGUGGGCACCACUGAGGUGAACCUGGCUGUCAUCAUUCCCUCCCAUCAGGAUUUUGUACACAUCGAUAGCAUCUCCCCCAUAGCCUAUAAAUUAAGCUAACAGCAGUCUUCAGGCACAUCUCCCACCUCACCCCCAAUUUUGGAAUAAAACAGCAC